CCUACGGGAGGCAGCAGUGAGGAAUAUUGGUCAAUGGGCGAGAGCCUGAACCAGCCAAGUCGCGUGAGGGAGUACUGCCCUAUGGGUUGUAAACCUCUUUUGUCGGGGAGCAAAAGCCGGACGUGUCCGGCUGUUAGAGUACCCGAAGAAAAAGCAUUGGCUAACUCCGUGCCAGCCGCCGCGGUAAUACGGAGGAUUCGAGCGUUAUUCGGAUUUAAGGGGUUUUAAGGGUGCGCAGGCGGAUUUUUAAGUCAGCGGUCAAAUCGUGGGGCUAAACCCCAUCCAGCCGUUGAAACUGGGGAUCUAGAGUGUGCGAGAGGUAUGCGGAAUGCGUGGUGUAGCGGUGAAAUGCAUAGAUAUCACGCAGAACCCCGAUUGCGAAGGCAGCAUACCGGUGCACAACUGACGCUCAGGCACGAAAGCGUGGGUAUCGAACAGGAUUAGAUACCCGAGUAGUC
rnacentral:rRNA from 1 species